rnacentral:rRNA from 1 species
GAUCCGUAACCUUGGGAAAAGGAUUGGCUCUGAGGUCUGACCCGGUCGGGCUAGGGUCCAGAAGCAGGAUAUGGCACUGCACCGGGACUGCGGCCGAGCCCGGACCAGCGUCAGGACCUUCCUGUGGAAAGCCACAGCUGUGCAUUUUCCGUGGGCUUCGCGCCUGAGGUUCUUGCUUCGGCCGGCAGAAAACAGCCAACUCAGAACUGGCAC